ensembl:snoRNA
AUCCUUUCGGUUCAUGAGUAUGAUGAAUGGUGUGUUCACGGACAGUCCGUGAAAGGUGCUGCCGAUCCUUGUUACGCUCUGCGCCUCAGCCCUUCUGACC